rnacentral:misc_RNA from 1 species
GAUGAAGAACGUAGCGAAAUGCGAUAAGUAAUGUGAAUUGCAGAAUUCGGUGAAUCAUCGAAUCUUUGAACGCACCUUGCGCUCCUUGGUAUUCCGAGGAGCAUGCCUGUUUGAGUGUCAUUAAUAUAUCAACCUUCUCUUUUUUGAGUUGUUUGGAUGUGGGGGUUUGCUGGCCUCUUAAAUGAUUCAGCUCCCCUGAAAUGCAUUAGCAGAACAACCUGUUCAUUAGCGUGAUAAUUAUCUAUGCUAUUGAAUGUGAGGGCAGUUCAGCUUUCUAACCGUCCUUGGACAAUUCAUCAUUAAUGUGACCUCAAAUCAGGUAGGACUACCCGCUGAACUUAAGCAUAUCAAUAAGCGGAGGA